GAUCAUUCUUAGAAGAUUAUAAUAGAAAUAUUUCAAAUACAGGUCUAUUGCGUUAUUUAAGGACAGAUGUGCUAAGUCAAUUGCAUGUUAAUGAAAAUAAUAUAUUUUAUGAGAUUGCUUUUAACAGCUUUUAUUGAGAAGAGUGGCAUCGCCUUAAGAUUCUGUACGUGUGUCAUAUGUGUAUUAAGAAACGGCAGCUGGAUUCUCACCUUGCUUCUGUUUUCAGCGCAUCGCAGUGUCAUAUAUAGUGCAUCCGCAGCUUCUGGAAAACUUCAGCACAGAAUGUGAGAGAAUCAGAAUGAAAAAGUCAGUAUAUUAACAUUAUCAGGAAAAUAGUUUUGACCUCACAGGCCUCCUGAGAUAUUUCCAGACCAUAUCUUGUCCUAAAAAAAGGAUGGCCUCCCUGGAAUUAUCUUCCUCUUGUGAGAGUGAUGCUUCUAUUCGCUGAAAAGAUGACCACAAUGCUUCCAUCAGUGGAAUUUCGUGCAGAUGGAGUGAGGACAAGUGUGUAAAAUAAGCGGAAGAAAGGAGAUGAGUUUUCAGCCAUGUUCUCUGAGUUAAAUAAAAAUCUCCAAAAGACAGCAAGAUGCCUGAAUGUCUGCAGCUUUCAUCAUGUGAUGCACAUCAAGCCCUGACAUGGCUCCCCUGUCAGAUAUCUACACCCACCGAGGUCCAGAAAAUGCCACAAGUUAAAUAUGAAAGAAAAGCUGGCAUCGUCUCUCUUGAGCUCAUCAAGGAAGGACGCCUAUCCACAUACAGAAAACGUGCCAGCCACAAGGAAUUGCACCACUCACAUUCUGGACUGCAAGUACUGUUGGCCACCUGGUCGACCCAUUGGAGAAUAGUUUGGUUUCCUGUGUGGCUAGACUUCAGGUAAGGAAUACAAAGGUGUGAGUCAGAGCAGUCUGCUCUUGACAGUGAGCAUUUGUUACUGUUAAUUAUAACAGGUUUCGGCUUUAUUUGGCCAUCUGUGAUCCUGGUGCAGAUAUUGACUUUGAUUUUUUAAUAUGAAAAAGAAGUCAAAUUCCUGGGCUUGUGUUGUGAUGCAGUGGGUUAAGCCGCCAUUUGUGACACCUGCGUCUCAUAUGGGAGUGCUGGUUUCAGGCUGUUAUGCUUCCCAUCCAACUUCUUGCUAAUGGGCCUGGGAAGGCAGUGGAUGAUGGUCCAAGUGCUUGGGCCCCUGCCACCCACAGGGGUGACCCUACUGGGGUCCCUGGCUCCUGGCUUCAGCCUGGACCAGACAUGGCUGUUGUGACCAUUUGGAGAAUAAACCAUCAGAGGAAAGAUUUUUUUAUCUCUCU
rnacentral:lncRNA from 1 species